AGCAGCCGCGGUAAUUCCAGCUCCAAUAGCGUAUAUUAAAGUUGUUGCAGUUAAAAAGCCCGUAGUUGAACUUCGGGGUCUACCCAUUGGUCAGGCUUAAUUGUCUGCACUGGUGAGAUGGAUCUCUACCUUCUGAGGAACUUUCAUGCCAUUUAUUGGUGUGAUGGGAAAUCAGGACUGUUACUUUGAAAAAAUUAGAGUGUUUAAAGCAGACUAUCGUCUGAAUACAUUAGCAUGGAAUAAUGAAAUAGGACGGACUGAUUCUAUUUCGUUGGUUUCUAGGAUCACCGUAAUGAUUAAUAGGGAUAGUUGGGGGCAUUAGUAUUCAAUUGUCAGAGGUGAAAUUCUUGGAUUUAUUGAAGACUAACUACUGCGAAAGCAUUUGCCAAGGAUGUUUUCAUUAAUCAAGAACGAAAGUUAGGGGAUCGAAGACGAUCAGAUACCGUCGUAGUCUUAACCAUAAACUAUGCCGACUAGGGAUCGGAUGAAGUUAAUUUUAUAAUGACGCGUUC
rnacentral:rRNA from 1 species